UAAAAUUUUACAAAUAAAAUAAUAAGAAAUCUUAAAGGAAUCCUAAAAAAAUCGACAAUAAACCUUAAAAGAAUCCUUAAAAAACCUUAAAGAAAUAUUAAAAUAAUUAAAAAUAUAGCUUAAAUAACUUUCAAUCAAGUCCUAAUUUAAUCUUAAUUGAAACCUUAAUGGACUUCAAUCAAAUACUAGGCCAAAUUCUAAAUCCUAAA
rnacentral:lncRNA from 1 species